UUAGAGACCCUAUUAUUUCGAUUUAUAAAAAUUGGUAAUACCUAAGUAUUAUGAAAAUGUUAUUUUGUAUUAAUAUUUUGUUAUUUAAAACUUAAAAGGUUUGGCGGUUUUACAUAUCCAAUUAGGGGAGUUUGUUAAUUGAUUUGAUGAUCCUCGUUUUAAACUUACUUUUUUUUGUUAUAUUUGUAUAUACAGUUUGUAUAUUGCUGUCGUUAGUUUAUGUUUUGAGAAUUAUAA
rnacentral:rRNA from 1 species